AAAGUCUUUGUCUGUUCUGAGUGUGGUCGAAGAUUUGGACAAAAGGGCCACCUGAAAACACACAUGAUAAUUCAUACAGGACAAAAAGCAUUUGUCUGUUCUGAGUGUGGUCAAAGGUUUAGACAGAAGAGCCACCUGAAAACACAUAUGAUAAUUCAUACAGGACAAAAACAAUUUGUCUGUUCUGAGUGUGGUCAAAGAUUUGGACAUAAGAUCACCCUGAAAACACACAUGACAAUUCAUACAGGGCAAAAAGCAUUU